rnacentral:rRNA from 1 species
GACUUGGUUGGGCGGUCCGCCUAACGGCGUGUACUGUCUGGCUGGGUCUUACCUCUUGAUGAGCCGUAAUGCCAUUAAUUUGGUGUUGCGGGGAAUUUGGACUGUUACUUUGAAAAAAUUAGAGUGUUUAAAGCAAGCUAACGCUUGAAUACAUUAGCAUGGAAUAAUGAAAUAGGACGUUCGAUCCUAUUUUGUUGGUUUCUAGGAUUGACGUA